CAACUUUGAGCGGUGGAUCACUCGGCUCGUGUGUCGAUGAAGAGCGCAGCCAACUGUGUGAAUUAAUGUGAACUGCAUA
rnacentral:rRNA from 1 species